rnacentral:rRNA from 1 species
ACGCUGGCGGCAGGCCUAACACAUGCAAGUCGAGCGGUAGAGAGAAGCUUGCUUCUCUUGAGAGCGGCGGACGGGUGAGUAAUGCCUAGGAAUCUGCCUGGUAGUGGGGGAUAACGUCCGGAAACGGACGCUAAUACCGCAUACGUCCUACGGGAGAAAGCAGGGGACCUUCGGGCCUUGCGCUAUCAGAUGAGCCUAGGUCGGAUUAGCUAGUUGGUGGGGUAAUGGCUCACCAAGGCGACGAUCCGUAACUGGUCUGAGAGGAUGAUCAGUCACACUGGAACUGAGACACGGUCCAGACUCCUACGGGAGGCAGCAGUGGGGAAUAUUGGACAAUGGGCGAAAGCCUGAUCCAGCCAUGCCGCGUGUGUGAAGAAGGUCUUCGGAUUGUAAAGCACUUUAAGUUGGGAGGAAGGGCAGUAAAUUAAUACUUUGCUGUUUUGGCGUUACCGACAGAAUAAGCACCGGCUAACUCUGUGCCAGCAGCCGCGGUAAUACAGAGGGUGCAAGCGUUAAUCGGAAUUACUGGGCGUAAAGCGCGCGUAGGUGGUUCGUUAAGUUGGAUGUGAAAUCCCCGGGCUCAACCUGGGAACUGCAUUCAAAACUGACGAGCUAGAGUAUGGUAGAGGGUGGUGGAAUUUCCUGUGUAGCGGUGAAAUGCGUAGAUAUAGGAAGGAACACCAGUGGCGAAGGCGACCACCUGGACUGAUACUGACACUGAGGUGCGAAAGCGUGGGGAGCAAAC